AUAUAAGGAUCAAAGGCUAACUUCGCGACAUCCUGUCGGAAAAGUCCAUGCGGCUGGUACUUUCUGUACAUCGCAACGCCUUUGUAACCUGAGUCCUGCAGG
rfam:Bacillus galactosidilyticus strain PL133 scaffold000141, whole genome shotgun sequence.